AACGAACGCUGGCGGCAUGCCUAACACAUGCAAGUCGAACGAGACCUUCGGGUCUAGUGGCGCACGGGUUCGUAACGCGUGGGAACCUGCCCUUAGGUUCGGAAUAACUCCCCGAAAGGGGUGCUAAUACCGGAUAAUGUCUUCGGACCAAAGAUUUAUCGCCUUUGGAUGGGCCCGCGUUGGAUUAGCUAGUUGGUAGGGUAAAAGCCUACCAAGGCGACGAUCCAUAGCUGGUCUGAGAGGAUGAUCAGCCACACUGGGACUGAGACACGGCCCAGACUACUACGGGAGGCAGCAGUGGGGAAUAGUGGAAAAUGGGCGAAAGCAUGAUCAAGCAAUGACGCGUGAGUGAUGAAGGCCUUAGGGUUGUAAAGCUCUUUUAAACGGGAUGAUAAUGACAGUACCGGGAGAAUAAGCUCCGGCUAACUCCGUG
rnacentral:rRNA from 1 species